UACGUAGGGUGCGAGCGUUGUCCGGAAUUAUUGGGCGUAAAGAGCUCGUAGGCGGUCUGUCGCGUCGAUCGUGAAAACUUGGGGCUUAACCCUGAGCUUGCGGUCGAUACGGGCAUGACUGGAGUUCGGCAGGGGAGACUGGAAUUCCUGGUGUAGCGGUGAAAUGCGCAGAUAUCGGGAGGAACACCAGUGGCGAAGGCGGCUUACUGGACAGGUCCUGACACUGAGACGCGAAAGCGUGGGUAGCAAACAGG
rnacentral:rRNA from 1 species